AUUGAACGCUGGCGGCAUGCCUUACACAUGCAAGUCGAACGGCAGCGCAGUAUUAGGUCUCUCGUCGAGUGGCGAACGGGCGAAUGAUGCAUCGGUACGUGCCCAGCAGCGGGGGCUUGCGCGGCGACAGCGGGAUUAAUACCGCAAUCGCCCUGACGGCGUACGCGGGGGAGCGGAAGGUCUUGCGACCUUGGAGCGGUCGAUGUCGGAUUAGCUAGUUGGUGGGGUAAAGGCUUACCAAGGCGACGAUCCGUAGCUGGUCUGAGAGGACGACCAGCCACACUGGAACUGAGACACGGCCCAGACUCCUACGGGAGGCAGCAGUGGGGAAUAUUGGACAAUGGGGGCAACCCUGAUCCAGCCAUACCGCGUGCGGGAAGAAGGCCUUCGGGUUGUAAAGCGCUUUUGUUCGGAAAGAAAUCCAGUAGGCUAAUACCCCGGGGUGAUGACGGUACCGGAAGAAUAAGCACCGGCUAACUACGUG
rnacentral:rRNA from 1 species